CCGUCCUCUGUCGGCGUGGAGGACUGCUGGCACGGAACUCUGGGGCUCGGGCCCUACCCGAUGGGUCACAAAGAGGAUCAUAGAGACGAGAAGACAGAGGGAAUUCCAGUCCAGUGUAACAAAACGAAGCAAGAGAAAAGAAACUAAGGCAGUGUUUUGAAGGAAGAUAUCUUCCUUGGGGCGUCAUCCCCUGUGCUGAGUCCCGCUAAGCAGUCCUUGACAUGGCCUGCUUUCUCCAUUCCCCAUCUGAUGUUUCUGCCCAGACCCCCGGGAGCCCGGGCCUGGCCUCUAGCUGGCUCACAAGAUGUUCUGGACUGAAGGGAAAGGCACUUAGGGAAAAGUCUCGGUUGAAGCAACUGGGGUCAAUAAGGACCAGAAACGGAUGAGAUGCUCCAGCAAGAAGCAGAGGGCCUGAAAGAGAAAUCUGGACCCCAGACACAGGAAGAAAGGCAGAAGACAGCCAGCGUCCAGGCACUUCAAAGAAACCCACUUGGAAGCCAGGACUUGGGGAGCUAGGCAAGGAUGUCUCACAAACGCAGUUCCCCAAGUGUGUUUCUGCAAAACUCCUUGAAGGUUCUGAGCGGGGCGAACAGGAGAGAACUUCCAGACAAGGAGAGCAAGAGGGACUUUGCAGAUGUGAUUACGUUAAGGAUCUUGGGAUGGGGAGACCCUGGAUUAUCUGGGUGAGCCCAAUGUAAUCACAAGGGUCCUUCUAAGAGGAAACCAGAGGAGACAGAGGAGAAAAAGGCAAUGUGGCAACAGAAACAGAGAUCGGAGCGAUAUGGCUGGAAGCCAAGGAAUGCCAGCAAACUCUAGAAGCUGCAAGAGACAAGAAACGGAUUCUCCCCUGGAGCCUCCCCAAGGAAGGAGCCCUGUCGACACCUUGACUUUAGCACAGUCAGCCUGCUUUUGGACUUUGACCUCCGGAAAUGUAAGAGAAUACAUUUCUUCUUGUGGAAAUUUGUUAGGUAGUCAUAGGAAACUAAUAUAGAGAAUAUAAGGAAAUUACAAAGCACCCAUAUCAAACCACCCUUUGGACUAAACACACACACUAGGGGUGCCCGGGUGGCUGUCGGUUGAGCAUCUGACUUGGGCUCAGGUCAGGAUCUCGUGAUGCGUGAGUUCAAGCCCCGCGUCGGUCUCUGUGCUGACAGCUCAGAGCCUGGAGCCUGCUUUGGAUUCUGUGUCUCCCUCUCUCUCUGCCUUUCCCCCACUCACACUCUGCCUCUCUCUCUCAAAAAUAAAUGUUAAAAAAGUUUUUUUUAAACACGCUAGCCACUCUAUUUACAGCCCUGCAGUGUUUACUAAUUGUUUCCUGUGUCUUACUACUCUCACUAGACUGGAUCAUAAGGAAGCUCUUGGGGUAACUCUAUCCCAACCUCCAUUACUGGCUUUCUGAAAUACCAAGCUCAAAACUGUCCAGAGUAGUCAUGCUGCAUUGGGUCCAGCCCAGCGUAAAUGAGGCAUCUGGACACGUCUCAUGAAUUCUGAGGGGGGCCUGUAUCCAGGUGGUGAUUUGCAUGUGUGGACCUGUCGAGGAAAAAAGAAGGAAGUGUGAAGACCGUGUAUGAAGGCCUGGGGCAGGGCUGAGUGGAGGGACAGGAUGGCACUUGUCUCUUCUCAGCCCAGACUAAUUAAUGCCACGGGCUGAGUCCUGCGGAGCCGCAGGCAGAGGCUGCAUGGACAGCUCUCAAGAACCCUGAGAUGUGGGGCACGAGUGGCCCCUAUCUGGGUGACGACACCGGGCUGGGGACAGAGUCGUUCCUCCCACUUGCGCACUGAGUGCAGGACAGCUCUGGUACGAUGAGGAAGGAGGGACAAGCAGCACCAUUUGGCCUUCCCUGGAGGAUGGAUGGGAGUGCCCCUGGUCACUCCUCUUUGGGCAGUGGGUCAGUGGGGAGCCCCAUGGCUAAGGCAAGGGACAGUCACCAUCCAAUGGUGGUUGGGGACAGAAUCAAGUGAAGGGAUCAUUUCUGAGCAUAUGUAAGACAUUCCUGGGGGCUCUAUUGUGUAGACACAGAGGUAGGAAGGAGGCAAGGCUUUGUAUCAGGGAGGUGGAAACACAAAUUGGCAAAAUGCAAGCUAUUAAUGUGCAUUUGAACUUAUUUGUGCCCAGUGGUUGGCGAAGCCAGGACUCCUUCAAGGAUCAGUUGAUUACUGCUUUUAGAUUAAAUGUAUUCAAUAAUGGAAAUGGACCUGAGAGCCAACUUGAACAAACGAAAGCAUUUUGUGUUUUGAAAGCAUUGAGCUCAACUGGGUGUUGAUUUCGCCCAUCGUUUGUUAAUCGGAUCCCGGACCCCUUGGUGUCGGUAUGCUGUGUAAGUCAGGUUUCUGAUGUGGCAAAAACCUGGUCUUUUUGUUGACUGUGGUUUCCCCAGUCCUUAGCACAGUGCCUGAUGCAUAGAGGCACUCCAUAAAUAUUUAUACUAUCCCUACAUUAUAAAUCCCUACAUUAGCUAAGUCAGAGAUGCAUGUUACUGACCCUUUACUUCCACUUUUACCUUCCACCUCCUGGAAUUGUGCAGUGUUAUCAUGUUACCAAAAUCAGCAAGCAAAAUGCAUCCUCUUUAGCAGGAAUUUCGGUGUUUGGCCUAGCCAUGACAAAGGAAGCAUACUGAGAUUUUGUGUAUCGGCAAGAGGAUGGGAAAUUCGAACCCAACAUCCUAAGCCUUGCCUGUGAGUCCCCCCUGAAAGCCACUGAAUGACAUCUGGCAAAAGCCCCAUGAGGCAUCCCCAUCCUCCGUGGCUUUACCGAUCAGCACCGUGUAGGCUUGCAGUUGCCUAGGAAUCUUCUCGUAAAUCUGAUGGAGACACACGGUGAAACACACUCGCCUGGAACGAUGACCAUGAGCCCCAAGUCAGGCUCCCAGAUCACUGUCCUUUCACUUCACCCUACACAUCCAUCCAGGGCUCACAGGAAGAAUGAGCAGAGUUGGUAAAUACUGAUCUCACAGAUAGUGGUGAGCAUUAGAAGGCAUCACCCUAAUUGCUGUCCAUGGAGGGAUUAUGAUAGCCCCCACUACAGACUCCCCCAAGAGCUAACCUUCAAGCGUCCAGUUUUGUAAAACUAACCUGGGACCGCUUUGCUCAAAUUACGAGUGUGAGGUUGCCAAGGAAAAAUGAGUCAGAGUAAUCCCUUUUCUAAGAGAUGAGAAGAAAAAAAAAAGCCUGCAAAGCUUUAAUAUUUUAAUGACCUACUUCCAGAACAAUAAAAAAGGGACUAAUAUCUUCCACGCAGUGAGGUGCAUUAUGACGGUUUCAUAAAGUAGCUUGAGCUAUUUCCCCAGGACAGAAGCCUUACGCUUUUUCCUUUCAUCUGUAUUCAACCAUUCCAACGAUAUUCAAUCUUAGAAGCGUUAAGAAUUAAAUUUUCCUUUAGGGUUUUAGUUCCAAAUAUUGGAACCAUAAGCAAGUUAAACCUUGCCGCUUUCAUGAAAGACUUGUAAGGGUCUUUAAAUGCCUCCUGGGAACAAUGACUAAAGGUAAUGUCAGAUCCUGGAGCAGAAAUAGGACAUUAGGUAAAAUCUAAGGAAAUCCGCAUAAAAUGUGGACAUUAGUUAACAAUAAUAAUGUAUCGAUAUCGGUUCAUUGAUUGUGACAAGUGCGUGUCCGUUCUGAUGUAAGAUGUAAUAACAGGGGACACUAGG